rnacentral:rRNA from 1 species
GACGAACGCUGGCGGCGCGCCUAACACAUGCAAGUCGAACGGAGAGGAGAGAAGCUUGCUUUUCUUAGCUUAGUGGCGAACGGGUGAGUAACGCGUGAGUAACCUGCUCUGGAGUGGGGUACAACAGUUGGAAACGACUGCUAAUACCGCAUAAGCUCACGAUCCGGCAUCGGAGUGAGGGAAAAGGGUUUAUUCGCUUCAGGAUGGACUCGCGUCCAAUUAGCUAGUUGGUGAGGUAACGGCCCACCAAGGCGACGAUUGGUAGCCGGGCUGAGAGGUUGCACGGCCACAUUGGGACUGAGGCCCGGCCCAGACUCCUACGGGAGGCAGCAGUGGGUGAUAUUGCACAAUGGGGGAAACCCUGAUGCAGCGACGUCGCGUGGAGGAAGAAGGUUUUUGGAUUGUAAAUUCCUGUCGUUAGGGACGAUAAUGACGGUACCUAACAAGAAAGCACCGGCUAACUACGUG